ACGGGUGAGUAACGCGUGGGUAACCUACCCUGUACACACGGAUAACAUACCGAAAGGUAUGCUAAUACGGGGUAAUAUAUUUGAGAGGCAUCUCUUGAAUAUCAAAGGUGAGCCAGUACAGGAUGGACCCGCGUCUGAUUAGCUAGUUGGUAAGGUAACGGCUUACCAAGGCGACGAUCAGUAGCCGACCUGAGAGGGUGAUCGGCCACAUUGGAACUGAGACACGGUCCAAACUCCUACGGGAGGCAGCAGUGGGGAAUAUUGCACAAUGGGCGAAAGCCUGAUGCAGCAACGCCGCGUGAGUGAUGAAGGCCUUCGGGUCGUAAAACUCUGUCCUCAAGGAAGAUAAUGACGGUACUUGAGGAGGAAGCCCCGGCUAACUACGUGCCAGCAGCCGCGGUAAUACGUAGGGGGCUAGCGUUAUCCGGAUUUACUGGGCGUAAAGGGUGCGUAGGCGGUCUUUCAAGUCAGGAGUGAAAGGCUACGGCUCAACCGUAGUAAGCUCUUGAAACUGGGAGACUUGAGUGCAGGAGAGGAGAGUGGAAUUCCUAGUGUAGCGGUGAAAUGCGUAGAUAUUAGGAGGAACACCAGUUGCGAAGGCGGCUCUCUGGACUGUAACUGACGCUGAGGCACGAAAGCGUGGGGAGCAAACAGGAUUAGAUACCCUGGUAGUCCACGCUGUAAA
rnacentral:rRNA from 1 species